ACCAGAGGUCACUUGCAGAGGUUGCUGAGGCAGCGCUGUCCUAUACAAUUCCGUGGGCCGCUCUCUAACACGAGGGGUUGGUCGACAAGAGUUCUAACUCGACGCUUCAUCUAAUGACACGGCGCAGGUUGUUGAGAUAUGCGGGUGGGACCGGUCCGCCAGAGCGAUUUCGAACAUGCCCUGAUACGUUUGCAGCCUUCGCAUGCCAGCAGCGAGCCAGUACCAUGAGGAGAGAAGACUACGUUCCCGGGUGAAGGCAGGCUCGGAGUACCGGCACCCAGGAAUGGAAUGCGUUUCGCUCGCGUUCUGCGGAGACUGUGAGAACAUACCUUGAGCGCUACACCUUUGCAAAUACCUGCCCGACCUCCCUGAGCCACUGCCACCCCCCGUGUGUCAUUACCUCGCCGGUGCUGUGGCCCACGCGUGGCGCUCAUGCGUGCUGAGAGCUGAGCGCAAGAGCGAGCGAGCGGGAGUGUGUGCCGUGUGGUAACCUCUUUUGCACCGUGCCGCGGCAAUCCACCGAACGCGUCCUUUGCCAUUUUUUUCGUUGUUUCCUUUGUCCGCCGUUCGAACCGUCGCCGCAAAAUAAAAAGAAAACGUGCGGAGCCGGCUGGGCUGUGGCCGAUGCAUGCGCUUCGUGCGGCUGUCUUUGUAAUGCAGAGUUUUAGCCUGCUUCGUAAUCAGAGUAAUAAUAAUGUUUGGUCUAAUAUAGCGUCGUCGUUCACCCAAAAUAGCAUCUCACAGGCAAGCUGGCAGGCAGCCAGGCGGUGCUACCAACGAUUUCCCAAACUGUGCGGUCCUCUAUGUAUUAAGAUGUUUUAUGACCAAAUGAGUGAGCGUUUGUUAUAUAUAUGUGGGAGAAAACCGGAGCACCCGAAGAAAACCCACACAUGCGAGGGGGCAACACUCUAUCCCGUACAGAAGAGACAGACGAUGUUAGUCCGCACUUUGCCGUAGCGCUUUCUCCCGACAAGCCAGGGUAUAUCAACCUCAAAGCCCGUGGGAAUGGGGUUUCGCAACACGUGUGUGAUCUACCGAUCCUUUCUUUGCAUACUCCUUUGUGCCAGAGCUUGCAAAUGUCACGCUAAUCAUUAUCAUUCAGUGCGUCUACGUGAAGUGAAUAACUGUGGCUGAAUUACAUUCAAGCAGCCACUCUGUGUUGUGGGCACAAUGAUCAUAUGAUUACAACCAAAUUAGGCACAAUUAUUCAGAUCCCAUCCGAUCCUAAAAUCUAAACGGGUUGGAGCCUGAUUAGUACGUGGAUGGGAAGUUGCCUGGG